GCAUGCAUGUGUAAGUAUAAAUAAUUUUACUUUGAAACUGCGAAUGGCUCAUUAUAUCAGUUAUAGUUUAUUAGAAAUACUUUACUACUUGGAUAACCGUAGUAAUUCUAGGGCUAAUACAUGACUAAAUCCUCAACUUCGGAAGAGGUGUGUUUAUUAGUAUGAAAACCAUAUAUCUUCGGAUAUAAUAGUGAGUAAUAAUAACCUUUCGUAUCGUAUGUCGUAAGAUAACGAUAGUUCUUUCAAGUUUCUGCCCUAUCAGCUUUCGAUGGUAGUAUAUGGGACUACCAUGGCAGUAACGGGUAACGAAGAAUUUGGGUUCGAUUUCGGAGAGGGAGCCUGAGAGAUGGCUACCACAUCCAAGGAAGGCAGCAGGCGCGUAAAUUACCCAAUCCUGACAUAGGGAGGUAGUGACAAUAAAUCACAAUGCGGAACUAUUUAGUUUUGCAAUUGGAUUGAAAACAAUGUACAAAUGUUAUCGAUAAACAAUUGAAGGGCAAGUCUGG
rnacentral:rRNA from 1 species